CCUACGGGAGGCUGCAGUGGGGAAUAUUGCACAAUGGGGGAAACCCUGAUGCAGCAACGCCGCGUGAGUGAAGAAGUAUCUCGGUAUGUAAAGCUCUAUCAGCAGGGAAGAAGAAAGACGGUACCUGACUAAGAAGCCCCGGCUAACUACGGGCCAGCAGCCGCGGUAAUACGUAGGGGGCAAGCGUUAUCCGGAUUUACUGGGUGUAAAGGGAGCGUAGACGGCUGUGCAAGUCUGAAGUGAAAGCCCGUGGCUCAACCGCGGAACUGCUUUGGAAACUGUAUAGCUUGAGUGCUGGAGAGGCAGGCGGAAUGCGUGGUGUAGCGGUGAAAUGCGUAGAUAUUAGGAGGAACACCAGUGGCGAAGGCGGCCUGCUGGACAGAAACUGACGUUGAGGCUCGAAAGCGUGGGGAGCGAACAGGAUUAGAUACCCGGGUAGUC
rnacentral:rRNA from 1 species